rnacentral:rRNA from 1 species
UACGAAGGGGGCUAGCGUUGCUCGGAAUUACUGGGCGUAAAGCGCACGUAGGCGGUUUCUUAAGUCGGGGGUGAAAUCCUGGAGCUCAACUCCAGAACUGCCUUCGAUACUGGGAAACUUGAGUCCGGGAGAGGUGAGUGGAACUGCGAGUGUAGAGGUGAAAUUCGUAGAUAUUGGGAAGAACACCGGUGGCGAAGGCGGUCUGCUGGGCAGUAGCUGACACUGAGGCGCGACAGCGUGGGGAGCAAACAGG